GGAACCUGCACCUUCUCCCUGGAUAUAGAAAAACCGAACCAAGUGUGCAGAAAUAGGUCGUGGCAGCAUUCCUCCCUCUGGAAUAAAGACCUCGAGGCAAGCGGAAUGUAAUAUCACGGGAACAGGAAGAAAAAAUUUUGCUAGUGGGUCACUAGACGUGAAGGUGAAUGAUGACAUUUCCACUUCCACCCCUUGAUUCCUGGACCUGUGGAUUCUGAUUUUGGGAGAAAGAGUAUCAUAUAUUGGACACUGAUUCAGAAGAUACCCAGCCUUCUGAAGAACUUUGGCCCAGCCCUGCAAAGUAUUCUCAUCUAUUUGACAAUGUAAUUGUGGCUUCAAAAGCCCAU
rnacentral:lncRNA from 10 species